GAUGAACGCUGGCGGCGUGCCUAAUACAUGCAAGUCGAGCGAACAGACGAGGAGCUUGCUCCUCUGACGUUAGCGGCGGACGGGUGAGUAACACGUGGAUAACCUACCUAUAAGACUGGGAUAACUUCGGGAAACCGGAGCUAAUACCGGAUAAUAUAUUGAACCGCAUGGUUCAAUAGUGAAAGACGGUUUUGCUGUCACUUAUAGAUGGAUCCGCGCCGCAUUAGCUAGUUGGUAAGGUAACGGCUUACCAAGGCGACGAUGCGUAGCCGACCUGAGAGGGUGAUCGGCCACACUGGAACUGAGACACGGUCCAGACUACUACGGGAGGCAGCAGUAGGGAAUCGUCCGCAAUGGGCGAAAGCCUGACGGAGCAACGCCGCGUGAGUGAUGAAGGUCUUCGGAUCGUAAAACUCUGUUAUUAGGGAAGAACAAAUGUGUAAGUAACUAUGCACGUCUUGACGGUACCUAAUCAGAAAGCCACGGCUAACUACGUG
rnacentral:rRNA from 1 species